AAAAGUGAAAGACGGUCUUGCUGUCACUUAUAGAUGGAUCCGCGCUGCAUUAGCUAGUUGGUAAGGUAACGGCUUACCAAGGCAACGAUGCAUAGCCGACCUGAGAGGGUGAUCGGCCACACUGGAACUGAGACACGGUCCAGACUCCUACGGGAGGCAGCAGUAGGGAAUCUUCCGCAAUGGGCGAAAGCCUGACGGAGCAACGCCGCGUGAGUGAUGAAGGUCUUCGGAUCGUAAAACUCUGUUAUUAGGGAAGAACAUAUGUGUAAGUAACUGUGCACAUCUUGACGGUACCUAAUCAGAAAGCCACGGCUAACUACGUGCCAGCAGCCGCGGUAAUACGUAGGUGGCAAGCGUUAUCCGGAAUUAUUGGGCGUAAAGCGCGCGUAGGCGGUUUUUUAAGUCUGAUGUGAAAGCCCACGGCUCAACCGUGGAGGGUCAUUGGAAACUGGA
rnacentral:rRNA from 1 species